AGUCAAUACAGCAGCGCUGUGUUACACGCUUGGCCCAUCUGUUCCCCUCGGUGGAGACCCCAUUCAGCUGGAGGUUUCUUUUGUAUUCACAAAGUGGGAAUCUGCAUAAACGGAGCGUUAUUGUACAACAUCCUUACUCAUCUAAUUGAGCCUCCUGCUCGUAAAAGUGCUCCACUGGUGUCCACGGGGAGCUGCCCAGAGGUGCUGGGCCCUGCUCCCUGCCCUGCCCUGUGUCCAGCUGUGUGCAGCUGUUUCAGCUCCAUCAGUAGGUGAGGGUUUUAGCACAGGGCAGGUGUGCUCAUGACUUUGGGUUUACCUGUCUGAGCUUGACAUCCUCACAGGAUGGGGAGU